UACGUAGGGGGCAAGCGUUGUCCGGAAUCAUUGGGCGUAAAGAGCGUGUAGGCGGCCUGAUAAGUCGGCUGUGAAAGUCAAGGGCUCAACCCUUGAAUGCCGGCCGAUACUGUCAGGCUAGAGUCCGGAAGAGGCGAGUGGAAUUCCUGGUGUAGCGGUGAAAUGCGUAGAUAUCGGGAGGAACACCUGUGGCGAAGGCGGCUUCUGGGCCUUACCUGACGCUGAGACGCGAAAGCGUGGGGAGCGAACCGG
rnacentral:rRNA from 1 species